GUUUCAUUUCGGGUCUAACACUAUGUGACCUUAUGACUUAGGAGAGUCCCUGCAGGAGGGGUCAAAUGUUGACUCAGGGUUCUAUGGAGCAAUCCACAUUAGGUCUCGCUUUUUCCAGAGGAGAAGGAGUGGUAGGUACUGUCCACCUGGCACAGCACCACUCCCCUGCGAGGCCAUGGGCCCUGCACUGCCCACCUUUGUUGUUGCAGGCGAUCCAUCUCAUGCGGUCAGCGAAAGUCACUUCUCUCCCAAUCAGCCCACUCUUUCAGGGGUCAGAGCACACCUUUCUGCUUUAAAGAGGCAGACCUGUUCUUCUAGAAUGAUCCUCCGCUCCCUUGAGGACUGUGAUGCUGUGACCCCACCAGGAGACUGCACCUGGCGUUUGCACAGAACCCUAACGGAUCCUGCUGUAACCCUCAGAACAGUUCUGGAAGAUGACCCCCACAUUGGACAAGCUUCAGACCCCAAGGAAGCUGGCUGCCCCUGUCCUGGUGCCCCAUUCAUCUCAAACUUGAACCCACUCUGAUGUGUUAAACCUACGAGUUGUGCAGAGACCUCCAUCGAGGCCCAUUUCACAAACAUAGCCCUUCGGACCUGCUUGGGAGAUCCUUGAUGUACUUGUAAAGAAAAACCCUGAUAUUGGGAUGAUGGGUAGGAUCAUAUAUAUCUUUUGAAAGACGAACCAAGGUCUUGCACUCUCUGCGUGAACCCUUACCAGCCAU